rnacentral:lncRNA from 1 species
GAGAACUUCCUGAAAAGUUCACGGAGGUUAGAACGUGACCUUCCUCUGGUGAGGGAGAAAGCCGCCCUCCUCCCUUUAGCGUCAGGGUAGGGGCGAGUUGGGCAGGCAGCGAGCUAGUCAGAGAGGGUGACCUUGCCCCCGGCAGCCGACCCCGACAUCCGACAUCUGACAGGCUAGCAGAGGGGGAAGGUUGCGCUACAUGGUGAAGCAGCUGGAGAACGGGGAGGUCAACAUCGAAGAGCUGAAGAAGAACCUGGAGUACACGGCGUCCCUGCUGGAGGCCGUCUACAUAGACGAGACGCGGUGAGAGGCGCCCCGGGGCGGGGUGGGGGGACAGGGGGGCCCGGAGGGAGGGCGGGAGGAAGGGGCAGGGGCACAGGGAGGGAGUUGGCCCGGUGGGGACACAGGGCAGCGAGGGAUGGAGG